CCCUGGGCUACACACGUGCUACAAUGGCGCGGACAAAGGGCAGCGAACGCGCGAGCGGGAGCCAAUCCCAAAAACCGCGUCUCAGUUCAGAUCGCAGGCUGCGACUCGCCUGCGUGAAGGCGGAAUCGCUUGUAAUCGCAGAUCAGCAUGCUGCGGUGAAUACGUUCCCCGGCCUUGUACACACCGCGCGUCACACCAUGGGAGCUGGCCAUGCCCGAAGUCGGAGUACCGCCGAAGCAGGGCUGGUGACUGGGGUGAAGUCGUAACAAGGUACCGUACCGGAAGGUGCGGCUGGAUCACCUCCUUUUAGGGACACCCACCUUGGGAGUCCUUGGUAGCGAGCGCAGACCCAGAGGUCAUCCCAGGUUGGUCGGGGUUGAGGGGAUGGUUGACUGAGGUUCUGGCGUGGCGGUGAAUGGA
rnacentral:rRNA from 1 species